UUAAAUAACGUCACACAUAUACCGACACACCUCUCUGGGUGCUCCAGAAUCUAUUAGAUUUAGGGGGUUGAUAGGUGGGGUAUAUGGAGGCCUAAC
rnacentral:sRNA from 1 species